rnacentral:lncRNA from 1 species
GUCGUACAUGCAUCACUAUGUCCCGUAUCAUCGUCGGGAUUCCCGCCAAACUCUGUGUGUCAACCGAGCUCUGGUGUUACUGUUGGCGUGACCGUCGAAUAAUCAAGAGGCGUUCCCGAGCUCGGGUAGGGUUCAUUCCUAUACUUAUACCGAGCUCAGCCUCACGGUAUAACAUUGUUUUUCUGCGACGUAGGUCGACACCGAGAUGAACAGCCCCUGUAUAGUGGUGAAGACUUUCCAGUUCCAUCUCCCCGUGCCUUCUAGUAGCUGGGUAACUUAUUCAUAUGUCUCGUGUCCCUACAACAAGAAUAGUUUUCUAAUACUUAGCAUAGUUUUCUAAUACUUAGCUUCCCUCUUAGAGAAGAAUAAAAUAGUGGGUAUAAAGCAGUACACUACUAUUCCAGAAUUUUCCAAAUUGACGUAUCCUUAAUGCAUCACACAUGUCUGAUAUUCACAUCCAUAAAAAAAAAAUUAGCACUUCUAUUCAUCAACUUUUCAACCGUCAAAGUUAGAUAAUAAUUAUUCUUUGUAACUAUUGUGUCGCUGCUGUAUCCGUAUCCUAGUUUUUUAGAUUUGGGCAUAUCGCCAUACCCUAUAGUGUGUUCGUGCUUCCUAGACUAAAUCUAAGUUCAAAAAAUCUAAGUUCAAAAAUGAACAUUUUUGAGCUGGUAAGUAGUUAAAUUCCAAAUAGAGCUUCUGGAUGUUGCUAUGAAAUUGCAGAAUCAAUUGAAAUGCUCACUAACACAUCCAAACACCCAAUAAUUAAAGAAAAUCAGAGAAGUAAAUUGACCCAACGAGCAGAAUCUGCGAGUAGCAAAUUACGAAUAGAGAAACUAACAAAACCCUAAACACUCGAAACAACUUCUGAUCUCACGACUCAAUAUGUGUACACACACUGGUUUUGAGUUGAACCCUAAGAUCAAAUGUAAUAUAUAUAUAUAUAUAUAUAUAUAUAUAUAGAGAGAGAGAGAGAGAGAGAGAGAGAGGUCACCAUUUUCUUCUGUAGGAUGGAGCUCUUUAGAGAAGACAGAGAGGGCAAGCGGAAGAAUGAUUGAAGUGUUCGAACGACGCGAGUUGUAUAUAGUACGGGAAUUUUCAGAUCAGUGGGUAUUAGGAAAAAUAUUUUUCUCAAAUACAUGACAAUGGUAUACACUUUGUCAUAUUCUUGCAAAUAUUUUUUAGAGUUACCAUUAUUUGUAAUUCUCCGAUGUAAUAAUAUACCAGCCCACCAGAGAAAUUUGGAAAAUGUUUUGUUUUUAAAGAUAGGGAAAAUGUUUUAAUUUUUAUACAGAAAAUACUAGAAAAAAUGGGAAAUGUUUUUUUUUAAUAGGG